rfam:Dipodomys ordii contig_65619, whole genome shotgun sequence.
GGUGGCUCAGUGGUAGAGUGUUUGCCUUGCAUGCAUGAGGCUCUGGGUACGAUUCCUCAGCACCA